GUGUUGUAUGAAAGGAGAGAGGUUAGCACUCCCCGUGACAAGGAUGGAAGAGGCCACGCAGCCUGCACAACACACACAUGGUUAAGUCAUCGCCACUUACUUUGUGGCUUUUCUUGCUAAGUGUUCUU